rnacentral:lncRNA from 1 species
UUACAGAGGAAAAAGACAAAGAGAUGAGGAGGAAGAGGAGGAUGAAAGAGAGAGAGAAAGAGAGAGAGAAGAAGUAGUGGAUGAAGAUAACCAGGAUCCUGUUUCGUUGGAAUAAUAAUUAUCCGUUGGGUUUUUAUCUUUGUAAGAAGGCAAACGCAAUUUUCGCUCUCAUCGAUGUACGUAGGUACCCUUCAAGCUUGAAAGAGAACCACAUUCGGACACGUACGAGCUCACGUAGGCGUAAACCAUCGAAUAAUCUUUUUCAACAAGAUAAAUAAUAGUCAGUGCCAAUCAGAUUUGAUUGGGGCGCGCGGUAAAAUGUGGGUAGCUCAUUCCGUGGGCCGUGGCCAA